AGCUCCACCGGGUCCACUGCCCGCGUGACGACCAGGUAGUCGCGCAGCGCCGUGCUGUGCCGCGCCUC
rnacentral:sRNA from 1 species